rnacentral:rRNA from 1 species
GAUGAACGCUGGCGGCGUGCUUAACACAUGCAAGUCGAACGAUGAUGCCCAGCUUGCUGGGUGGAUUAGUGGCGAACGGGUGAGUAACACGUGAGCAACCUGCCCCUGACUCUGGGAUAAGCGCUGGAAACGGCGUCUAAUACUGGAUACGAACAAGAAUCGCAUGGUUACUUGUUGGAAAGAUUUUUUGGUUGGGGAUGGGCUCGCGGCCUAUCAGCUUGUUGGUGAGGUAAUGGCUCACCAAGGCGUCGACGGGUAGCCGGCCUGAGAGGGUGACCGGCCACACUGGGACUGAGACACGGCCCAGACUCCUACGGGAGGCAGCAGUGGGGAAUAUUGCACAAUGGGCGGAAGCUUGAUGCAGCAACGCCGCGUGAGGGAUGACGGCCUUCGGGUUGUAAACCUCUUUUAGCAGGGGAGAAGCGAGAGUGACGGUACCUGCAGAAAAAGCGCCGGCUAACUACGUGCCAGCAGCCGCGGUAAUACGUAGGGCGCAAGCGUUAUCCGGAAUUAUUGGGCGUGAAGAGCUCGUAGGCGGUUUGUCGCGUCUGCUGUGAAAUCCCGAGGCUCAACCUCGGGCCUGCAGUGGGUACGGGCAGACUAGAGUGCGGUAGGGGAGAUUGGAAUUCCUGGUGUAGCGGUGGAAUGCGCAGAUAUCAGGAGGAACACCGAUGGCGAAGGCAGAUCUCUGGGCCGUAACUGACGCUGAGGAGCGAAAGGGUGGGGAGCAAACAGGCUUAGAUACCCUGGUAGUCCACCCCGUAAACGUUGGGAACUAGUUGUGGGGUCCAUUCCACGGAUUCCGUGACGCAGCUAACGCAUUAAGUUCCCCGCCUGGGGAGUACGGCCGCAAGGCUAAAACUCAAAGGAAUUGACGGGGACCCGCACAAGCGGCGGAGUAUGCGGAUUAAUUCGAUGCAACGCGAAGAACCUUACCAAGGCUUGACAUAUACGAGAACGGGCCAGAAAUGGUCAACUCUUUGGACACUCGUAAACAGGUGGUGCAUGGUUGUCGUCAGCUCGUGUCGUGAGAUGUUGGGUUAAGUCCCGCAACGAGCGCAACCCUCGUUCUAUGUUGCCAGCACGUAAUGGUGGGAACUCAUGGGAUACUGCCGGGGUCAACUCGGAGGAAGGUGGGGAUGACGUCAAAUCAUCAUGCCCCUUAUGUCUUGGGCUUCACGCAUGCUACAAUGGCCGGUACAAUGGGCAGCGAUACCGUGAGGUGGAGCGAAUCCCAAAAAGCCGGUCCCAGUUCGGAUUGAGGUCUGCAACUCGACCUCAUGAAGUCGGAGUCGCUAGUAAUCGCAGAUCAGCAACGCUGCGGUGAAUACGUUCCCGGGUCU